UACGUAGGUGGCAAGCGUUGUCCGGAAUCACUGGGCGUAAAGGGCGCGUAGGCGGCUCAUGAAGGCUGUGGUGAAAGUCCGGGGCUCAACCUCGGAUCGGCCGUGGCGACUCGUGGGCUGGAGCACUGUAGAGGCGGGUGGAAUUCCGAGUGUAGCGGUGGAAUGCGUAGAGAUCCGGAAGAACACCAGUGGCGAAGGCGGCCCGCUGGGCAGUGGCUGACGCUGAGGCGCGACAGCGUGGGGAGCAAACAGG
rnacentral:rRNA from 1 species